GUAGGUGAACCUGCGGAAGGAUCAUUAUCACGUACUUUUCGUACAAACUAAACUCGUGCACCAGUUGCGUUGGUUAACUGGAAGGUGUAAGUUUCAUAGUAAGUUCGGGUGGUUUUUCGUCAUAUUUCAGCUCCUAGCGGGUUGACUUGUGUGCGUUUUAAGAACAGCCAUGUUUAACUUCAAAUUGCCGCAAGGCAGUUUGGGCCUUCCGACUUAUCAAUUGCGACGCUUUAAAAUUGCCGAUUAAUCA
rnacentral:misc_RNA from 1 species